CAUGCAGAUUUACAGCUUCUGGCUUGAAUACAGUAAGAUUUUUACUAUAUUUAUCUAGGCAUGAGGGGCCCACUAUAGGGUCAUGUAUACACGUAGUUUCACUGGUGACUAUAAUGUCCCUUUAAACAAUUCAAGGUCAGAGUUUCUUUUUCUUUAUAGCUUGGAAUGCACGUAGGGUAGUUUUCAAGUUUGACGAAUACCCGGAAAUUGAAAUAAUAACCUUUUAGUUAUGCAAAUAUUGUAUUAAACAUGUACAUAGAUAUCACAUAAAUGUUAAGGUUUGAACAGCUUUUUCUUUUCUAAGUAAAAUAAACAUGAAAGUGAAAAUAAAACCUGCCCAACCUUAACCACAUCAGCUUAGGGAACACAACAUUCUACACUUCCUUAUCAUUUAUUUACAUACAUAUUUACAUACACACAUAUCUAGUAAGGUUGUAGUAAAAAAUAAAAAGGAGUAAUUCAAAUUGAUUGAAUGAUUUCAUGUUAAGGUGUAACUUCUACAUGUCAUAAGUCAAAUAAAAUCCAUGUCUUACAUACACAUAUUCUAGUUUGUUAUUCCCCAAAACUCACAAAAUGCCAUCAAAUAUAUGCAAAUGAGCCCUACAUUCACUGUCAUUUUAUUAAUAGUCCUACCUAUAUUUCUGUGGGUUCGAUGAACAGAUAUUUAAACACAGUUGUCCAACCAUAAUCGUAUGUUAGGUAUUGAAUGAACCAUUAUCCAACCACAGAGAUCGUUCAUCCUGCAGUAACUUAGUGUGGUGCUGGCUUGAUUUGCAGAUGAAAGUAUUUACGAUAGCUCCAAGAUAAUAUUAAUAAAGUUGUACACAAACGUAACAAUAAUUGUUAAAGGAUUUUGAUACAUUGUAAAAUGCACGGCUUUAAAAACGUGUGGCCCUGAUGAUUAUACCUGGAAACCUGCGGGGAAUAGGAGAAGGGGAGAGGUGUGUUGCUGUAGCACCUACCCGAAUGCCCGACAGUGUCCCUGUAUGGGAAGCUCUUUUGUUUUGACCCUUCACUUACUGCCUGGUUAAUGAGGUAUCUCUGAGAACAUUGACGUGAAAUGUUCAUAUGUACGGUCCUGAUUGACUGUUUGUGGAUUACAUCUCCCACCAUGAGAGAGAACUAAAGAACAAUGUCCCAUGUACCUAUUAUUUAACUCCUCUCCUGUCUGGGCCUGCCAUUGUCUAAUUUCUCUACUUCUCUGAAUUAUUUUCUCUUUGCGAGGUGCAAAGAACAGACCUUAUGACAGUAAUGACAAAAAACUAAGAUGGACAAUUCACCUCUAAUAAUUAGAAAUUAUUUUUUAAUAUUAAUCUAAACUACUUUCUUAGGUGUAUAGCUUAAAAAUACACCUAUAACUCCAACCGGUAUCUAUUUCUAAUGUAUUAUAUUAGCAAAAGUAGACAAUGAACUUCAACAUGCAAGUCUUUCGCAGGACCAAAUAACUCUUUGUAACAAUUAGACGUGGUCAUGUGACUGUGGGCCAAACAGCCCAGCUCAUUUUCCAAUAAAAGCUUUAUUUGUUAUGAUACACCGAGUAACAGACAAAGACGUGAUUGUUUAAGAAAAAUUGUUUUGCAAAGCAGUGAGUGUUCAUCGCGUUUGCCGCUGGCUGAGUUCCUCAGAUAAUUAACAAUGUCACUAAGUCUCACUCUCAAUAAUACCUCAAAAAUUGUAAUGUGGUAUAGAGUGAGGAUAUUUUAAUAUGAAGCAAAGGGAAGAUGUUAAAAAAUAAACAUGCAAAUAUUGUGUUAUUCAUCCGUUAAAAAGUUACUUUACUUUCGUAUGAAAGCAUUUCACAUUUUAAUCAAUUCUCUGAAGAGUUCAUUGGAUGUUUACUUUAAAUAUAAUACUAUAAUUGCUCCUGUGGAAGAAAAUUGCUUUCAAGACUGAUUGAGGAAGCCAACCCCCAGAACAAGAUAUUAGGAGGAGACAUUCCUAAAAGAGCAGAAUAAUUCUGUCUAGUAGUAAAAAAAUUGAAAACAAAAGUAUUUUAAUGUAUUAUUAUUAUUAUUGGUAUUUAUAUAGCGCCAACUAAUUCCGCAGCACUUUACAAUAUUAUGAAAGGGGGGGGGGAAUUUACAAUAAAUGAGACAAUUACACAGUGAUACAGGAUCAAUAGGUAGAUGAGGGACCUGCUCAACCGAACUUACAGUCUAGAGGAGGUGGGGUACAAAUACACAACAGGGCAGCAAGGGUGACAGCCACCAAACAAGGAGGAGAGAGUGGAGUAUGGCUCUUUAGGAGAGCAAGAGACAGAUAUGGAUAGGUAUAGAUAAGGUACUCUGGAAGUCCAUAAGCCUUUCUAAACAAUUGAAGACUAGGGGAGAGUCUGACGGGGAUAAGCAGGCUGUUCCAAAAGAGGGAAGCCGCCCACGAGAAGUCCUGUAUAAUUUAUCUAUCAAUCCAUACGUAUGUACAUCCUGUCUGUCCGUCCAUCCAAUUAUUGUUUAGGAGAUGCUGUAAUAGGGGGACCUGUAAGGGCACUUUAACACUAUGCAGUUACUUUACAGGACUGUGUUAUCAGCUUUCCACACACUCCCGUGUCAUUGCAUUGAAGCCGGCUACAUGUACCAGCCCACUCCCACUAGAUCCUAAGCAAGCUAGCCUCCUCUGAAAAGUUAGUGUUUAUAUGCUAUAGAUACCAGCACCACCACAAUAAGUCCCUUUAAAAUUAGGACUGUAUCGCAGGUUGCUAGACAAACUUUUGUAAACUAGGAAAACCAAAGUCUAAUUCUUUGGACCAGACUGAAUUCUAAAACAGACAUGUUUGCUUGAAUCUCCACCAAAUACUUUUCUUUCACAGACACGGGAUAAGCAAGGAAGGGGCAGGCCCUGAAUAUAUUUUGGUCUGGACAGCUGCCUUUUAACCUACAAGAAAAUAUGGUCCUUGCUAUUAAAAUAUAGGUUUCUGCUAAAUAAAUCUAAUAUUUAUCUUAUUAGCAAUAGUCAUCAUGGUUAUGGCAAUGAAUAAAACAAAUCAAUGAAUAAAAACGCAACAAUAACAAUUCAGAUAUUAAAAUAUCUAAAAUAUUCUGUCCUGUUUGAAAUAGCUUAUCCUGUUUUAUAUCUACCAAUAGAGUAAUCAGGAGAUACACAAUAUAAUUAUGGCAUAAUUCACUCGCUGGCUAUAUUCUUUGAUAAUAUUAUAAUAAAUAAACACCAAUUAAAAAUCAAUGCAAUAAUUAAGGGUUUAGAAAAGGCAGGUGUUGUCAAAAUCACUGUAACAUUUAAUCAUCAGUUUGAUGUAUAAAGUAUAACUUGUUGCAGACAUCAUGACAAUCACAGUGACAAUCACAAACAUGGUCUGCCACACGAUUCUCCCUAGCAUAACACGCACCUUCCACUCAACUUUAGAUGUUUCUUUUAGGAAUUACUUUAAAAGCAGAUAAACAGAGCAAGGUUGCUGAAUUUAUAUAAUCAUAGAGUCACUAAACAAAGCAAAAAAUGACCCUUAAUAUGAUAAGUGUGGUUCAGAAAUUAGCACAUGCUGUAGGUAAUAGGGUGUAAUAUGAGCUAAAGGGUAGAUUUUUGGAAUAAGGCAAUAUUUAAAGGGACACUCCAGGCACCAAGACCACUUCUGCCCAUUAGAGUGGUCUGGGUGCCAACUCCCACUACCCUUAACCCUGUUUUCAUAAACUGCAAUAUUUACCUUGCAGGGUUAACUCCUCCUCUAGUGGCUGUCUAGUAGACAGCCACUAGAGGGCACUUCCUGGUUCACAGCACAGAUUUUCUAUAGCGGCGCUGGACGUCCUCACGCUAUGUGAGGACCUCCAGCGUCGCUAAAAUCCCCAUAGGGAAGUAUUGAAAGCAUGCGCAUUAUGUCUCACCACGCCGGCGGCCGCGCAUGCACAAUCGGUCUCCCCCGCCGGAUGACGGCGGGGGAGGAGCGUGGGCUGACCCUGGACCAGCGCUGAGGGACAUUGGCGCUGGACUCCGGUAAGUCACUGAAGGGGGUCAUGAUUCCCUUUUAUUCCAGAAGUUUGGUCCUUAGGGGGUUAAACCCCUUCAGCAACCUGGGAUGGGGGGUGGGAGGGAGAGGGGACCUGCAGUGCCAGGAAAACAUUUUGUUUUCCUGGCACUGGAGUGUCCCUUUGAGGUUAUGGAGGACUUGGAUAUAGUGGCAGGGGAUGUUAGGGUUAAAAACUAAACUUAACCAAAACUGAAUUCUGGUCUUUCAUCCCUCAAGUGUUGUUACUCCUGUGACUGUCUCCCUCCAAGUCAACGGUGCUACCAUCAACUCCACCACGUAGGCUUGCUCCCUAGGUGUUCUCUUUGACUCCGACCUCUCCUUCAAGCAUCAUUUCAAUCUAUCGCCAAAUCCUGUCAUUUCCAUCUCAAAAACAUUGCGCGCAUCCGCCCCUACUUAACGCCAGAUGCGACUAAGGUGUUGGUCCAUUCCACUAUCCUUUCUCGCCUUGACUACUGUAAUCCGCUUCUCAGUGGUCUUACGUGCUCCCAACUUGCGCCGUUACAGUCCAUAAUGAAUGCGGCGGUGAGGCUCAUCUUCCUGUCCGCCUGCACCUCCCAUGCCUCACCCUUCUGUCAGUCCCUACAUUGGCUUCCUAUAAAAUAUAGAGCUCAAUUUAAAAUUCUGGUUCUUGCUUUCAAAUCUCUACAUAAUGCUGCUCCCACCUAUCUAUCCUUCCUUAUACACAAAUAUGUCCUGUCUAGGCCCUUACAAUCUGCUGAAGACUUACGUCUAUCUUCUGUCCGUACUCCCACCUCUGAUGCUCACCUUCAAGAUUUCUCGAGGGCUGCACCGUUCCUGUGGAACUCGCUUCACUCCUCCGUUAGAUGCUCACUCAGUCUCCACUCCUUCAAAAAAUCGUUAAAAACCCACUUCUUCAUAAAAGCGUGUCAAUUAAACUAAUACUAUCCUUACCUUUUUGUGUCAUUUUACCCCACUCCCUCUAGCAUGUAACCUCGGCCUCAAUCCCUCUGUUCCUGUGUGUCCAACUUGUCUGGUUACAAAUACAUGUCUGUUCGUCCACCCAUUGUAAAGCGCUGCGGAAUUUGAUGGCGCUAUAUAAAUACCAUAAUAAUAAUAAUAACAUUAACUUAAAGGACACUCCAGACCCUUAAGGCAGUGUAGCUUGCUGAAGAGCUUUACACAUGAACAGUGUGUCUCUUUUAAAAAAAAAUCUGUACAAAAAUUUAAAUAAUAAUAAAAUAAAAAUAAAAUAUUAAUAAUAUAAAAAAAAAUUAUAUUAAAAUAAUAAUAAUAAUUUUUAAAAAAUUAUAAAAAUGCCCACCCCCCACCAAGGCUCUGCAUCACACACACAAACACACUCGGCAUCACACACUCUGCACUCAUACACACACACACUGCACUCAUACACACACACUCCGCAUUCAUACAAACACUGCAUUAUAUACACACACACACUGCAUUCAUACACAAACACUGCAUUAAUACACACACACACUGCACUCAUAAUCACACACACUGCAUUCUUACACACACACACACACACUGCACUCAAACACACACACACACCCCAUUCAUACAAACACACUGCAUUAUAUACACACACACACACUGCAUUCAUUAUAUACACACACUGUAAAUAAAUAUUCAAUUAAUAUAAUUUUUUGGGGAUAUAAUUUUAUUUAGAAAUUUACCAGUAGCUGCUGCAUUUCCCACCCUAGUCUUAUACUCGAAUCAAUACGUUUUCCCAGUUUUUUGGGGUAAAAUUAGGUUUCUCGACUUAUACUCGAGUAUAUACGGUAGCCUUGAAACAACCCCUUGGCUGCAGAUAAGAGAUCUACAAUGUUUGCAAACUGUUAUUAGAUAUAAUCCCAAAUAAAAAAGACAUAAUUAAAUUUAUGCAUGUUUUCAUUGGGAGCAUAUAUACUAAAUGGUGAUACUUGCACUGACAGUGAUGAGCACUGUAAUUAUUAUUCUCAGUCAGUUUUGCUCUGACAUAUGACUGAAGUACCAUUAUAGCAUUACCAUAUUUACUGGGAACAUUUAAAAAAUGACGUUUUAACUGUGAAACUAAUGUGUUAUAUUAAACAAAUAGUUUGUUUCCGGAAAUAAAUUAUUGGUAAGGAUAUUAAAAACACGGUGGCAGAAUGUACACGGCACAGCAAUCUAGAAAUGUUACAAAAAGUACAAAACAAGCACGCACAAAAAAAGCAGAUAAAAAAAUGUAGAACACAGCCUGUUUAAUUCCAUUUUUUUAAAUAGUUUGAGUUCCCCUGUUGAAAGCUCCACACAUGCCAAAGCGUUCUUUUCAUUCUGCUGUUGGCUUUCGUUCUGGGGUGAUUUCUUUCCCAAACUAAGUUGAUAUAUUUGAGAGCAGACUCGAGUUGAAAGUAAUAUCAGUUUGUGUGCUGCAAUACUCUAAACUUGGACUCUGCAUUCCAUACAUUCCAAAGUGUCCACGCUAUAUUUUGUAACACACACUGGUAGAAAACCAUGCAUACUCCCCAAGUGUCCCACUUUAAUUGUGUCAGUCUCUCUGCAAUACCAAAAUCCUGUAUUCUUUAUUUCCUGUUCUGGUGUCCUCGUUUUAAAGAGCCUAAAAUAUUUGUCAUCCCUUAGUAUAUACAAGAGAAUCCCAUUAAUAGAUUCAGUUAUGUGUAUUUAUUUAAACAUUUUAUUUGUUCUUAUAAAUGGCUUAUCCAUUUAUCCAUAAUCCUCUCAGCGUCCGAGCCAUUCCUUGCUAUAUUACAACAUAAAAACACACACUUCCUAACAAAAAGCCUCCACACAUUUUGGGCAAUUAAUUGCCUGACGCCUCAUGUCCUGGGCACCUGAUCUGAGAAAGGAGGGGGAAGCCCAGAUGGAGUUCCGUUGGAGAGGAGUAAACGGAGACAGUUGUGAAGACAGUUUGUUUUUGUUUAGAUAUGAAUGACAAAUUCGGUAGUAAAAUAAGUAUCGCUUGCAAUAAGAGUGCUGUCUCUAUGAUGGGGUGAUUUAUAGACGAGAAGUGUGGCGGGCACUCACAUGAGUUGCCCCAGCUUAGAGCCGGAAUUUUCGGUAAAGCCAAGUGAGAAACUGUUUUAGUUUUACUGCAUAUCAGGGAAAUCUGAAAUUCUCCCUCUUUCCUUGAUUUCAAUGUAUCCUUCUUGGUAUAAUAUUUUAUAAAUAAAUAAAAUAAAUAAACAAAUUUAAUAUCGGAGUUGGGAUGUGAAUCCAACCUUAUUCUGGACAGACAGAAUAAAUAAUUAUGGCAUUCACCAUACAAACAAUGUAAACACAAUAUUUAUAACAUCUUAAUUUCAAGCGUCAUUCAGGUAGAGAUAGCUAAUCUACAUUUCUCUAGAUUUAACUCUAUACUAAUCAUUACAGGAAGGCCAUAAUAAACUACCUUAAUCCAGGAGAGAAUUAACCCAUUAAUUAGUGUAAUGUAAUCAAGGGUCGCUGUAUGUUUCCCUGUACAGCUAGAAGGCUGCUACUUUGUAACCUAAUGCUAUAAUGCAAGCCAGGUGUUUAAGAUGAUACCUGGAACUCACUAGACCUUUCACAGAAAUUGAUCUCACCACCUGCUCUCUCAUUAUUCCACAAACACAUUCCCAGCUAACAUGGACAGUAGCUAAGACAUUACACCUACAAAUUACUAAUGCAUUAUAUCAAAUCACAUGACUUGCUGGCUAGAGAAUUUUGCACCAAUCACUGCUUGAAAUCUGAAUUUGAGCAAAUCUUGUGUUUUUAAUAUAGUCAGAUACUGUGCCAUUAUGUGUCGAGACAAAGCAACGCAAAACAAAAUUUAAUCCACUAGGCUCCAUGGUCAGUCUUCACCUGGCGAAACAAAAUGAAAAGCUUCUCCAAUUAUUCUCAUGCAUGGCUAAAACAUCAUAAUCAUAAAUAUCAUAAUCUCUAAAAUAUAUUAUACCCCCUCUAUUCCUUUACGUAAUUCAACCAAGAUAAAUUGAUAUCAUUUUAUUUUUUUGGAAUCCCUAUACAGCUAUCCAGGCAUACAAUCUCUGAUUUGCCGUUAAGUCGGUGAUUGCGUCCUCUAGCUACCCAGAUGUUUUCUGAACUACAAUUCUAAACAUGCACAGUCAGCCUGCAGGAAUCAUAAAUAUCUGGAGUGCUAUGGGUAGCAGUAACGAUUUAUAUUUACAAAAUGUAUAACACAGGGGCCGGGCUUGAUCUCCAAGCAGUGAGGAAGCCCUGUGCUGCAACUCUCCUGAACUGAUACGGUUUUUCGACAAAUGCAGCACCUCUAUUUGCUACAUCCACCUUUAAAGGGACACUAUAGUCACCUGAACAACUUUAGCUUAAUGAAGCAGUUUUGGUGUAUAGAACAUGCCCCUGCAGCCUCACUGCUCAAUCCUCUGCCAUUUAGGAGUUAAAUCCCUUUGUUUAUGAACCCUAGUCACACCUCCCUGCAUGUGACUUGCACAGCCUUCCAUAAACACUUCCUGUAAAGAGAGCCCUAUUUAGGCUUUCUUUAUUGCAAGUUCUGUUUAAUUAAGAUUUUCUUAUCCCCUGCUAUGUUAAUAGCUUGCUAGACCCUGCAAGAGCCUCCUGUAUGUGAUUAAAGUUCAAUUUAGAGAUUGAGAUACAAUUAUUUAAGGUAAAUUACAUCUGUUUGAAAGUGAAACCAGUUUUUUUUUCAUGCAGGCUCUGUCAAUCAUAGCCAGGGGAGGUGUGGCUAGGGCUGCAUAAACAGAAACAAAGUGAUUUAACUCCUAAAUGACAGUGAUUUGAGCUGUGAAAUUGCAGGGGAAUGAUCUAUACACUAAAACUGCUUUAUUUAGCUAAAGUAAUUUAGGUGACUAUAGUGUUCCUUUAAUAUGUUCCUGAUGUGACAACACACUCAUCUGUUUUUUAUCUUGUCUUAUUGUACUGAUGCAAACUUAAUUUUAUUGUUUGUAUUAAUCUAUACAUGUCUCAAUAAAAAACAGAUUGACAAAAAAAGAAAAAAAUGUAUAAUGCAAUUGUGAAAAAAGAGAAACUAACAAAACUUAGUAGUGAAAGGGUUUUAUUCCACUACAAUAAAUUAUUCAAGGGGUGACCAAGCACAAUGAGAAAAUGGCGAUUUCUUUAUAAACCUCUGCUCAUAACGUAAAAAUGACUAAAAACAUCAUAAAGAAAAAAAGCUACAUGUCAAACUACGUUGAUAAAACAACCUUGGACUUGCGAACCCAACGAUGUCUGAAGCAGAAUGUCUGACGUAGAUAUUCUAAGAUCAGGAACUAUGUAUAUAAAACAUUGUGAAAUGAAAGAUUAUUCCCUCAAUAAAGACCCCAACUAAUAGCAAUUCCUAAUCCAGACUUCACAAGGGUUGUUUUUAUAUCUCAUGAAUUCAAACAUAAAGUGAUACCUGUGAAUGAAAAGUAAUGAAUAUAAUGCACUUCGAUAGCAAACAGUAUAAACAUCUCAUUAUUAAUGAACAGGUCAAAGGUUACUCUUCCCAGGAUUUCUAAUACUGUCCUCAAUUACAUUCUCUCAGCAAAACCCAACAAAAAAUAAGUGGUUGCGCCCAAUCUAUUUAUCGAAUAUUGACGGAAUUCAAUACCAGUCGGAAUUCUAGUAGCUGAAACAAAUUAGUAGGUCCGCUGCUCAACAAAUGAACUAAGCAAUAAAUGACAAAUGCCAGUGUGCAAAUAGUUAGAAAAAACAAAUUGGGGGUCAAUAAUCUUUAUAAGGGUUCUCCACAGGGCAAGCUCAAUUUAUGCAUGGAUCUAUUUUUUGACGUCACAUAUUUUUUGCAAUCCUUUUUUUUUUUUUAAGAGUUCCGUCAGGACAUUAUGGAUUUUGGGGGGAGAGAGGGCAUUUUUAGGAAUGAAGAGGAGAUCUAAUGGUACUAAUGUAACGUAUUUUUUCAGGAUUAUAUUAUUUUACCAACCCCUCAGCCCCUUGUGGGAAUGGACAUAACCACCAGGGGGUAUGGGGGGGCUAAACAUUUUUUUACCUUCUACAUUUAUUUGCUUAGUGCCCAGACUUCUAUUGGUUUUACCUGGAAAAUUCAGAAAAAACACAAAUGUUAUCAUUUAAAUCCAAAUACAUACAUUUUUAGCAACAAUUAUUCUAGGUUAAGUGUUUGCUAAAUGUCUAAAUUCUCAUACUUUGUAUAAAAAUGUUUCAUUAUUAGUGUUGUUUUUUUCAGCCACAAAAUUACCGUGAAGUGAAUUUUUGGGUCUAAUCUGUGAGUAUUACUCCAAAUCGUCUUCAGUAAGUACAAAAGUUACUUAUUCUGGUAAUUUUCUGGGAUUUUCCAAGAAUUUCACAAUUUGGAUGGCUAUUCUGAGUGUGUUAAAUCAGGUAAAGUGCAUUGUUAAAGUAGACAAUUUAUAGAUCAUAUCUUACUUUAAGUGACCUGAACCAGCUGUUAAAUCUCUCGGAGCCGACUGUAAAACCUCUUCUUAAAGCUUUGCCUAAACGACAGGCUCAGUGAUAAGAACGGGGAUGUAAAUAGUUGGAAAUGUUUCAAGUAGUCAAGUAGCAAUUGUUUUUGUCCUGAAAUUUAUAUAAAUAAAAAAAACGUAAAUACAAUUGCAGCGAUAUUGGUUAUCUAAUAUAGACAGUCUUUAGAUUGUGAGCUCAUUUGUUCAGAGUCCUCUUUGUCUACUGUUCCAAUAUGCCAUACAUGUUUUGUUAAAUGUUUGUCUUAUCCAUUGUACAGCGCUUCGGAAUAUAUUGCCACAAUAAAAAUAACUGUGAUUGCAUUGUAAUUUUUUCUUUUACCAAUUUCCAAAAAAUUCCAUUGCCGAUGUCUAAUCGAUGUCUAAAACAAUUUCUGUUUUCUUCUGUUUCAAUAAAGGUAAACAUUAUAAACAUGUAAAAAGGAUUUGGUAACCAGUCAUGUUCUCCAGAUAGUAAGUGAUUGCUACCCCAACCAGCUGUGGAUCUACAGACCUUGGACCUUGCUUCGUUACUCAGAGAAAGGAUGAUCAAUCAAUGGAAAUGUUUGGACCCCGAUCUACAAUACACCUCAUUGCUACUGAAGUAGCGGUGUCACAGUUAUGUAGUUUAUGAGUACUUCAUAAAUAUACAUUUUUAUGAAAUACUCUCUAGAUUGUAUGCUCAUUCGAAGAGGGUCCUUGUCAACCUAGCAUUCCUGUCAAAAUGUGUAAUAGCUUGUCUCAAUUGUUCUUAAUCCCCUCCCCUUCCGACACUGUACAGCACAACAAAAUAAGUUGGAACUAUAUAAUAAAUACAACUUGUGUGUAUACAAACUCCUACAUAUACCGAGUGCGGCAGACACCAGUGAAAUUAUCCUGAGGAAGUGCUGAUAGGAGUACGGCGAAACGCGAAGACCUUUUCUGAGGUUCCCCAUCAGCCAUCACAUUGCUGGAAGAUACAAUUUUCUGGCCACCGUAAUUUGCGAACCAUGAAUGUACAGCACUAUAGCAACUGUAUUGAGAGGUGGGGAUUUAAGCCUAUUUUGGAAAAGCCGUUUAUGCAUAUUUCUUUGUAUUUGUACAAAAAACCUUUUUGAGUGUCUCUUUUGCUAUUUAUAUGGAAUAUGGAA